rnacentral:rRNA from 1 species
GAUGAACGCUGGCGGCGUGCCUAAUACAUGCAAGUCGAGCGAACAGACGAGAGUGCUUGCACUCUCUGACGUUAGCGGCGGACGGGUGAGUAACACGUGGGUAACCUACCUAUAAGACUGGGAUAACUUCGGGAAACCGGAGCUAAUACCGGAUAAUAUUUAGCUUCGCAUGAAGCAAUAGUGAAAGACGGUUCUGCUGUCACUUAUAGAUGGACCCGCGGUGUAUUAGCUAGUUGGUGAGGUAACGGCUCACCAAGGCAACGAUACAUAGCCGACCUGAGAGGGGGAUCGGCCACACUGGGACUGAGACACGGCCCAGACUCCUACGGGAGGCAGCAGUAGGGAAUCUUCCGCAAUGGACGAAAGUCUGACGGAGCAAUGCCGCGUGAGUGAAGAAGGUUUUCGGAUCGUAAAACUCUGUUGUAAGGGAAGAACAAGUACGUUAGUAACUGAACGUACCUGGACGGUACCUUACCAGAAAGCCACGGCGAACUACGG